rnacentral:lncRNA from 1 species
GUUGACUCGGAUACCCACGGUCAUUAAAAAAAAAAUGUUCGAAUUGGUAAAAUUCUAUAUCUAAAAAAGUUGUAACCCGUUGAGUCAGCUUUCGAAGAAACUUUGAAUCGCCUUAAUCAAAUAUUGGAAAAGAAAGUUAUGAUAAAAAUAUUGAUUACGAGAAAAAACGUACGCGAAUCGAUUGGAACUCUUUUCGAAACCAAUUUGGCCGUGAUUUUUAACCAAUUUUUUAUUCCUACAAAUACCUAAUAGAAAAAUACAUAUUAAUGAUCCCUCAUAUUCAUCUCAUACUAUGAUAUUCUAUCAAUUUUCAUCAUAAACAUCAUAAAAUAGGGGCAAAAUCAUAUAAUGUGAGAAUCUUCCAGAGGUGAUGUUCAAAAACUCAUCAAUUGGAGAUAAUUGGAGAUUGAACUUGUGAUUUGUGGGCAAAGAAGUGUAAGAAUUAUUGAAGAUUUAUCAAGAUUGCUUUGAAGAAAUUCGAGAACAACAAGAUUCAUCUUUCUUCAUUCAUUAAUUCACAAUUCCAGGUGAUGUUCCGUACAUUUAACAUGCUUUCUUAGAAUUCAAAUAUACUAGGCUAGUUUUAUACAUUGCUAAAAUGAUAUGAAUCCUUGUUAUGAUAUUUUUUGCUUUUAAUUAAUUAUUUUAACUUUAUUUUCGUUCGAUUUGUGGAUUUUUAUUAUCUUUUUUAAUCUUUUUUUGUUUUUCAAUUGCUUGAUGACCAAUUUAAUUCUUAAUGAAUUCUAUGUUAUCGAGAGAGACAAUAGGGUUUAAACACAAUACAAUAAACAUCAUAAGGUUUGAUAGAUGAUAGAAAUAUACUUACAUGCUUUUAAUAGGUGUUCUAGCACUUAAAAAUGUAUUUAUCAUGUUUGCAUCUUUUAUCGAGGGAUAGAAUGGUCAUAUCAGAGGAAUAGAUUUGAUCCCUAUCGAGAGAGACUUUCAAUUAAAUUAGAAACAUUGAUCAAUAUGAAUGAUUUCAAAUUGUCACAUUAAUUACACAAAAAAAAAAUUUAAUAAUAAUAAAGGGGAUUAGACAUCAUAGCAGUGCAUUACACAUAUUUGAAAAACACAUUUACUUGUUUUAACUAUUUUAAUUGGUAAUUUAGGAAUUACUAUAGAAAAAUCACAACUUAUUUUUGGGUGUCAACGGGCCGAGCUGGCUUGAGCUUUUUUUGGCCCGGGCCGGGCCGAGCCGAGCCGAGCCGAGCAGAGCAAAAGCUCGGCCAAAAAAUUGAGGUAGUUGCCUUUGUAAAGGCAGAUAGCCUUUACAAAGGCUUUAUUUAUUUAUUUUUUUUUUAAAUUUUAAGUCGGCCCCUGGCUCGCGAGCCAUACGGGCCGGCUCGAUCCCGUGAACCAAUUUUUCAUCCCUAAUUUAUUUGCUAUUUAAUUAAGCCCCCGUUUGAACCCCAUUAUUUCUCAUUACAUUAAAUUAAAAUUUUCUCUCUCCUACUUUUAACCACACAACAAUCUUCAAUAAAAUAAUAUUACACGUAAAUGAAAAACUUUUCAACCACUCAUUUUUCAAAAAAAUAUUAUUCAUUUAAUUAUAAUUUACAAAUAAUGGGGCUCAAACGGCCCCUAAAAUUGCAAUUAAUUUUAACUCGGUCAAACAUAUAGUGCUUGAGGUUUCGACACUAUAUUCACUGCUUAAUUAUCUGUUCACGAUCUCAUUCACUUGUGAAAAAUCAAACUUUCAAGCUCAAUAUAUGGGGGUUACUAAUGCAAUAAUUAGCAGUUAAGGGCUGAUGAGAAGGAUGGACUACCCAUCAACAAAUUUAUUUUUAACAUCAACAAACGAUACUAAAAAUUUAUUUCUAGAUUAUAUGAUGAAAAUGAAUAAAAAAAUAACAUUCAAAAUACGACUAAAUAUAUCAUUACUAAAACUCCACGUGCAUCGCACGUGCUAGCAACUAGUAUGCAUACUAUAUGUUACAACACUUUGUCACGUGUGAUUGAAUAAAUUUGUUGGAAUUAUUGGGGAUCUAGUGUGUUGAAGUUUUGGUGGUUUUCUCCCAUUCUAGAGAAAAGGGAGAGCGUUUGGGGGUGGAGAGAGAGAGAGAGAGUAAAGGGGUGAGAAUAGUUUGGGUUUGGUUUAGGGGUUUUUUUUUUUUUUGGCAAAUACUACUGGUGUGACUUAUUUUAUAUAAUAAAAAGCUAUAAUACAAAUAAAGUAGGGGGCAUAGACCUGACCUCCAGUUUUGCACUGAGUCGGCUUUAGUGUGAUUGUUAUUACUUAAUUUCACAUAACAUAGCCAUUGCCAUCUCUGAGAUAUUGUUGUGUCAAAAAUUACUCUUUAGAAUCUAUAAUAAAUGAAAGGGAAGAAAAUUGGGUUGCUUCCCAAUUAAUGCUUUCUGCGGAUGUGUUCAAUUGUACCAUAACUCUUCAUUUUUUUAGUUAUUCCUAACAUCUAUUGUCCAUAUAUUAAAGUUGAAAAAUUCUAAUAUAUUGUGAAUCUCACAUCACCACUACAAGCAACUAAUUACCUAAGUGGAUCAAAAAAAGUUCGUAUCAUAAAAGGAAAGUUGACCAUGUGGAGCCGAAAAAACUUCAUGCCCACACAUGAUAUAUCUGCUUGCCUACGCAUGGGUAAGAAUAAAAUUGACCGCGGGUGUAGAAAAGUUGCCUCUUGUGCAAGCAAGGGCGUGUGCAUGGUAAAAAAAAAAAUGAUUUCGAUUUUCAUUCCUUCCUUCCAAUUACACUUCAGCUAAUUGAGUUUUACCUAACAAACAAUAAAUACAUGAAAUUAGGUCAUAAUUAAUCAUAAAAACUCUUAAAUGUCUAUAUUUAAAGGCCUAGACACCUAUCAGAGGGAAGCAUGGGGAAUGUGGAAGGAUGUGCAACACAUUCAUGAAAAAGAGAUUAGGAUGAAAAAAAAGUAAUGUUAUAUGAUGUUUAUAAAUGAAAAUUAAAAAUGAGUCAUUUUUUACUUUGACCCUUAUAAUUUAGUCACUUGAAAAGUUCAUCAAAAUUCUUGUUUGUUCAUGCUUAAAAGCUAUAUUCACUUUAGGCACCGUUCUAUAGGUGAUAUUGAUUUAUUCCUGGAUGUUUACUGAAUAGACGUUGGUCAGCCCGUUGUUGCCGGUGUAGGCGUGUUGGGUGGUCCCGUUUGUAGGUUUGGUAAGAAUCAGUCUAUCCUAUUUUACUGUUUUUAUUGUGAAAAUUAUUUUUGAUUUCAUUAUAUUCAAUUAUGUCUUCAGUCUCAAAUUGGCUAGGGAGAUCUAGGUCUAGAAAUAGACAAAAUUCAAAUUAAAUUAGAACAAAUAUUUUUCAAACAGAAUAAAACAAAUAUUUUUCAAACAGAAGAAGAAAUUGAUAAUGCAUCAACAUCAGAGGACUUCAACUCAAAUGAACUUCAAAUUGCACAAAUUGAACAACGUCUUCAAAAUUGGACCAUUCCAAAGAUAGAUAAACAUUUUAUUUAUGAAAUAGGAAAAUUUGAUUUCACUCAAAAUUAUGUUAUCAAAACAUUUGAACAAACAAUUUCAAUUAAUAGUUCAAAUGCAUUCAUCAAUUUAUUUUCAAAAGAAUCUAUUGAAUCUCAUAAGAAGAAGUUCAAAUAUCUUCAUGUGGGAUUAGUUCAAAUUGCAGUUAAACCUUUGUUUAGACUUGGUCUAGACAUUCCAAUUUUAAUUACUCUUAGAUAUAAGAGACAUCUCAAACUUGAAAAUUCAUUACUUUCACUUCUUGAAUCAAAUCUUGAAAGUGGUCCAGUAUUUUCAAACUGUUAUCCAAACUUUUCAAUAAAAUUGACAGAUGGAGCAAUUUUAAAUUCUCUAAAUCUUUAUAUAUAGACUAAAGACCUUGAGUUUGAUAGUAGAUCAAAUGCAUUUACUGUAAUAUAUAGGAUAUAUUACAAACUUAUGAACACUCAACUCAAUAUAGGUGCUCUUCAUUCUUCACCAAGAGAGGAAAGUCUUUUGGUAGAAGUCAAUCCUUUUCAUUCAAAUGUUGAAAUUCCUAAAAGAAUUCCAUGGAAUCUUCAAUCCAGAGGACUCGAAUGGAAUUUUGAAAAUAUUCAAGCUCCCAUUCCUGCUCAAACUCAUACAAUUCCUAAUGAAAUUUUAACUUUUUUUUGAUGGAAAAGCUAAAGUCAUCUUCGAAGGAUCUUCAUCCAGAAUUCGAAGAUCUUUUUCUUCCAAAUCUUCUAGAUCUGAGGAAAAACCAAGAAAUUCUUUUCAAUCUUCAAGAAACUCUACGUCGUCGUUCAAAGGAGUUGAUUUUACUCCUAAUAUUCCAAAUCCUUUUUAUCAACCUAAAGAAAAAGAAGAAGAAACUGAGCAACCAGAGUCUCCUACUUUUUCUUACAUGGUUCCUCCUUCAAAUCAAGAUAUUGAUCAUCAAUGCAAUGUAAUUUUUUCUAAAAUUGACAGAAGAAAAGAGUUCAAAUAUGAUCAAGAUAUUUGUGUUAAAAAAUUUAGAAAACUUUUUAGAGAAAGUUUUUCUUCAAAACAAAAGAAAAAAUAUUGGGAAGAUUAUUUUGAAUCUUCUACAAAUUUAAGUUUUUAUGAUUGGAUUCAAUUCAAAGUUUUAGGUAAAAACCCAAAAAAAAAAAACUCAAAUCCUUACUACAAAAAUUCCUUGAAAAUCUUGGAAAACUCCUGAAGGAAACACUUUUCAAUCUAUUCAUCCUCCUAUGCAAGAAAUAGUUUUUUCUCAAGGAAAAACUGAUAUACCUGCAUCUCCUCUCAAAUGAAUUCCAAAGGAACGAUCUGAUGAUUCUCAGGUUGUUGCUAAGGAUAUCAAAAAUAUUCAAUCUUAGAACAAUUACACUAAUAUUGUUCUACAAUCCAUUUGUUCUCAAUUAAAUCGUAUUGAAUCAAAUUCUGAAUCAGAAGCUUUUACUUCUCAAAAGGAUUCUUUUAAAGAAUCUCGAGAUGGUAAAAGUAAAGAUAAGAAUUUGUCCAAAGCAUCUUCCUCAUCAAUCUUCAAAAAUGAUUAUUUAAUUCCACGAUUUGGAAAAUCUUCAAAUCUUUCUACUGAAAAUGAAGUUCUUUCAGAACUUGUUACUCAAUUAAAAAAUUUUCAUGUUUCAAAAAACAUCAAUACUAUUGAUGAACUUGAAUCUCAUUUUAUUGAUGAAAAAUUUAAUUCUAUUAAUAAGCUAAGAAAAUCUGAUUAUCAAAAUAUUCCAAAAUUUUAUCCUCGUCCUUCAUUUCCUGAUCAACUUUUCGAAGAAAAGUCUCCUCCUCAAAAAUCUUAUGAUGGUAAUUUCGGAGUUGAAUGAAACUUAGACGGACUUACUGAAUUUCAAAUUAUCAAUUUAAUGGGACAAAUGACCAUUUGGUACAAGACCUUUCUUGCAAAAGCCAAUUCAAUAAUUGAAGCUACAAAUAAUAUUGUUAUUGGAUUCACAGGACAACUUGGUCGAUGUUGGGAUAAUUAUCUCCCAAAAACUGAGAAAGAUAUUUUAUUUUCCUCUGCCAAACGUGAUGAAAAUAACAGUAUUAUUCGUAACGAAAGUGAAGAAGAAAUUAAUGAUAGUUUUACUGUUAUUGGUUUAACUAUUAUCAAACAUGUCAUUGGUUUGGUCUGUAUCUCGGUUCGGUUCAAUUAAUAACCACGAAAAUAAAUUAUUUUUUAUAGAUCAAUCUGUCAAAUUGAUAUAAAACAAUUUAUGAAAAGAGAGUCAAUGAAAACAAAAAUACAAUAUUCCAAAUAAAAAUACAAACAUUAUCUCAAAUUUCAAUUGCAAAAUACAAAUUUAACAAACAAUAUUAUGAAUAUAACAAUAUUAAAUUUUUCCUUCAUUCUUGAUUCUUGUGCAUUUUAGUUACUUGAUUCAUGCUCAAUAAUCCAAAAGUUUCAAUUUUAACUCAUAUUCAAUAUUCAUUUUUCCCCACAACUCUUACUAGAAUAGGUCAGCACUUAAAAUUGAUUCAUAUAUAGUAAAUAAAAAAUGUAAGUAGAGAAUACAACGAUACUACCUAAUCCAGAAUGGUUUUAACAAGAUUUAAAUAAAAAAAUAUACAUCUUCGUCAACUUCCUCCUCCUAAACAUUGUCAUCUCUAAUAAAAGAAUGAUUUUUUUAUUUUUAUUUUUAUUUUUUCGGGUAAUUAGUUCGGUUUCGAUUCGACAACAUAAAUACGAUACCCGUACCACUAUGAUCCGGUUCAUUAAAAUCAAAUAUCAUAUUCGUCCCAUUACAUCAUCAGUUCGAUUUUUUCGCCCCAUUAGGUUCGAUUAACUGCGGUUUUCGAUUUUAACAGUUCAAAUUUGCCCUCCCUAACUAUUAUUUAAAAGUAAUUUCGUCCAUAAACAUUUGAUGCAAUUUCAUCCUUCAAAUUUUUUUUUUUGUCAAAUAUUCUCAUUUUAAUGAGAAUCAAACAAGGCUAAAUUCAAACUUGGUCAUUUGACUAUCUUCAAAUUCUAUUCCUCCUUCAACUAUUUUAGAAUUUGAAUCCGUUAGUCCAUCUAUUCUUAAACAUCAAUUUGAAUUCUUUAAAAAAAAAAAAGUUGAAAUUUCGAAUUUGGCCAUCCAUCUAUUCUUAAACAUCAAUUCCAUUCUUCAACUUUUCGAAAAUUUAAAUUUGGUCAUUCAACUAAAAUUAAAAUUCAACUUCAUCAUUAAAAUUUUUGGAAAUUCUUAUUUGAUCAUCAACUAUAGUUUAAAAUCAAUUUCAUCCUUCAAUCUAACUAUUGUUUAUAUUCAUUCUCAUCCUUCGCCUAUUUGGAAAUUCAAAUUUGGUCAUCCAACUUAAAUUUAAAUUCAAUUUCUUCCUUCCACUGUUUGGAAAUUGGAAUUUCGCCAUCCAACUAUAACUUAAAUUCAAUAUCAUCCUUCAAUUUUUAUUAAAUUCCAAUUUCAUCAUCCAAACUAUUGUUUAACUUCAAUUUCAUCCUUUAACUUUUAUUAAAUUAAAAUAUGGUCAUCCAUUUAUUGUUUAACUUCCAUUUCAUCCUUCAGCUAUUAGGAAAUUCGAAUUUGGCCUUCCAACUAUUCUUACAAAUAAAUUUGAUCCUUCAUCUAUUUGAAUAUUUCAAUUUGGUCAUCCAACAAUAAUUUAAGUGAUUUCAUCGGUCAACGUUUAUCAUACGAAAGUGGUUUAAGUUAAUUUCAUUGAUCAACUAUUUGGAAAUUCGAUUUUGUUCAUCCUUCUAUUCUUAAACAUCAAUUUCAACCUUCAAACUUGAAAAUUUGAAUUUGGUCAUCCAACUAAAAUUUAAAUUCAAUUUCAUCCUUCAUCUAUUUGGAAAUUCUGAUUUGGUCAUCCAACUCAACCAGAAGACGCCUUUAACUUGAGGAAAAAUGAUAAAGUCAGAGAUUUUUUGCUCAAUGAUUCCAUUCAAUCAAAGGCUCAGCUCCAGAGUAAUAAUAUGGUUCUUUUGAAGAGCCUUGAUAAAUUUCAUUUAUAUGGCACCAUAACAAUGUGAUUGAUAAUGUAUUUUAUAAUACUUUUUCAUUAAAUUAAUGUAGAGAAUAUGGCACUCAUUUUGGGAUUGUCCUAAUGUUACGUUCAAUGAUGUAUAUCUGCCUUGAUUUUGAAGACGACCAUAUUAUAAAACACAAAGUUAUAGAUGCAGGUUGGCCUAUGGGAUUUGCCAUUCUUGCAAGACACUUGAGCUUGAAUGGCAAGAUAUAUUUUGACAUCUCUAAUUCAAAUAUAGUAUCCACACUCCUAGCCCUCUUAGCUCUCCUGCCAUAUGCACAUGAACGCACACGAAGAAUGGAAAAGGAGAUGCAUUUAGAAGGUAGUUGACAGUUAGGUAGAUGCCAUUAAUUUCUUCUCCUGGUUAAAAUUUACCAACUCCUGAAUUCACACAUAUUGUACCCCAUUUUGUGAUUGCCCUACGGUCAUAGUAGACAGUUUAAAAAUCAUAAAGUUGAUUGUUAAUUUGUUUUCUUGUUUGUCGCUAUACACCAACAAUCGAUUCAAAGUCGAGGAGUCAUGUGCAAUAUUGUGUAAAAAGUGUUGGUAGGUUAGGGUUUAACUUUAGAUUGAUUAAAAAAUUUAAAAUAAUAUUAGAGUAAGAAAAUGUUUUUUCGCCUAGGCCUAAGCUUGGCAUCCCCGUUUCCCCACUCUUUACGAUUUUUAGAACACUGAUCGAGCUUAAUCAAAUUAUCAAUUGUUGGAAAAUUAACAAAGCAAUUAAUGAAAAUGGAAGUAACACAGUCUUAUUCGUUUGAUACAUGUGUGAUUAAUUUGUAAUUAUCUUUAUACUCUUAUUCAAUAGUUGUUAUCUCCUCGGGUAGAAUGGCCAAUUUACAAUCUAAAUUCACAGAAUAUUAAAAGUCAUUUUUUAUCAAUGUUUUCAAGAAAAUUAUAUUCCUACCUUUUAAAUUCGUCCCAUUACAUGGCAUCUCCCACAAACAUUUUACAUUCAAAGUAAUAUCACUGUAGAUAAUUAAUAAUAACACACAGGUAGCACCAAUAUUCCAAGGCACGUUGUGUUUGGAACCAAGAUAUAAUUAUCCAUUAGGAUGGUCACAAAUUUUAUGCGAAAUGUAUGAAUUAUAUGUAGAAUGAAUGAGUACAAAUAUUAGUUGAGUACCCUCUGCACCUACUUCUUUCACUGAUAUUGAAGAAAAUGAUGCUGAAAUAUUAACUUUAUUGGAAGGCAUUAACAUGUAUAGAUAUGAUGCAAAUACAAUAGGUUCAUCUAGUAAUAGUUUAUCUUCUGCAUGUAAUCAAACAUUGGACUCAAUUACAAAUACAUUAUUUGUUGAAUGAAUUGAUUACUUUAAUCAUAAUAUGCUUACCAACAAAACAGUUAAAAAAAGCUCAGAAGAAAUUGAAUUUUGACGAAAAUACGAACGAAGAUGACCAGUAAUUUUCGCAAUCGCAAUAGAUCUACUGACGCCUCCGGUUAGCAUUAUAGUUUCAGAGUCUGCUUUUAGUGCAGGUAAGAAGGUUUUAUCUGUGGUCAAGAGAUGUCUAAAAGAAGACAUUUUGGAAGCAUUAAUGUGCGUAAGGAUUGGUAAAAUGCUCAUUUUCGACUACAAGAUAAAUAUAUUAUUUUACGUGUAUAGGUCAUUGAACCGUCAUUUUUUGGAUUAUUAGGAUAACACGAGUGACUACCUCAAACGGGCUGAACUUGCCAAAUACUAACAACAACCUUAAGCAUGAUUAAGUAAAUCCCUACCUCAGGCUUAGUCUGGACAUAGAUGUUCGACUAGAUACUUUCCUCUAGUCCUUGAGACAAUUCUCUGAUCGAGUAAAUCCAUUUAAUCACUUGGUUUAUGGAGAGUGAAUAUCAUAAAAACACAAGAAAUGGUUUACCACAAAGGAGAGACACCCCACCCACACAAGUGCAUAUAAACUAUGGUGCCUAACCCAUAUACAACAGAUUUCUCAAAACACACACAACAAACUACACUGUAAGCACGUAGUUUCCACAUUACAAUAAGUAGGGACUACAAGUGGACAACUAUUAUUUUGGUAGAUUUUAAGUAUCUAAAACAAUUAUUAACUUAAUGAAUUAGGGAUCGACUGAUUGAAUAAUGUAACCAACUAUGAUGCGCGCAAACACUCAUCCUAGGCGGAUUGCUAAUGUCCAAUAUAUUCACUAUGUGGCAUAUCAUGUUUUAUAUACAUUUUUUUUUUUCAAAUAUCCAAUAGUUGAUGGAGAUGUGUUAGUCGCCACGUGGUGUGAUCAAUACUCGUACUAAUUUCUAAUACACUCGGAACGCUGUCUUCACACGUUCGAAACAAUAAACCCCAUUUUGUAAAUUUUGGGAUAUAAAUAAAGGAAUUUUUUCUUUUAUCUUUUAAGUUAUUUGUAAAGAAUUAAAAUAAUGCUAGUUUUAUAUUUAUUAGGUUUUAUUGUAAUUGACUAUUCUUUAGACAAAAUUAAAGUUACAAAAGAGUUAAAAAAAUUUAAAAAGUUAUUUGGGAGGUUGUAUAAGUCAAUUAGGAGUUUUUGGAUUCGAGAAUGGAACAAGGAGAAAAAGUAGCUGGAAUAAUGCUAGCUGGUUGUCCCUUUAGCACUUGAGCCCUACCUUGGAGAAAUCAACAUAACCAUGCCGCCCGCUUGGCUCUAGCUCAUUGCUCGAGUGGUGGAGUCAAUGCUCUCUUGGUUCGAGCCUAGCUCUUGAGCAAUGUUGUUAUCCGAAGAAAUUCUAUUUACAAUUGAAACAACUUUCUAAGUCCUAAACAACUCCAAACACUCUCUACUGUAUAUAACUAAGUCAUAUUCCAUCCAGAUGGGUGAUUGAUCAUUAUAUUCUUCCUAGGAAACAUCUUUGAAGAGCCUACAACAAUUCUAGACCUUGGGAUCUUUCAACCACACUUUAGAAAACAUCAAAUCCAAAAUUAUCAAAACACCAAACCACCCUCUUUUGUAUAAUAUGUCAGAGUUUUAAAGAUCGAGAAAGGUAACUAGAGUUUCGGUAGGACAAGAAUGGGGAGUUCUUGAUGAUCCAUAUGAGAGAGACGAUUUCAGGAGGUUGAGAGCAGGUACAAUAUCACACAGUCCAUGAGGGCUUUGGAGAUUAUAGAAAGUAGGUCAGAGAGUACUAGGAGGAAGUCAAGUCUGGACCAUAUUGUAAGUCAAUUUGUUUAUAGUGGAUAUUACUGGCUUGGGCCCAAAGUUUUUUGACCUCGCAAUGUUUCUCAGUGAUCAUUUCGUUGGUGUUAUUUAUUUUGUGCAAAUUACUAACUGUGGCAAUUUAACAUAGGUUAGACUUGCUUGUGAGUUGCGUAAAUUUUAAUUCCGCAUUAAUCACCUAUUAUACGUAUGCAAUUUUCUUGACAGUAAUUUUGAUGUUUUUAAGACUUGUCUAAUUUUUUGGUCAUUACAGUAUUGUCUUAUCCAAUUACACAGCAAAAUGGAAUUUGCACCGUGCCAACCUGUUGAUAGGAUAAGCAAACUUUCUGAAAAUAUAAUAGAUGACAUUCUAAUGUGUUUGACAACAUGAUGCUGCAAAGACAAGUAUCUUAUCAAGACAAUGGAGGUAUAAAUGGAAUAAACUACCUCAUCUGAUAUUUGAUGUUACAUUGUGGCAAGAAUAAGAGUUUGCAAGAAUUUGAGGUAAAAGAGAGAACUCUGAAGUUCUUGCUAUUCGUUUACCAGGUUCUUUUACGUCACCAAGGACCCAUAACUCAGUUUACUCUUGUUAUUCCAAAGCUUGAAAUCUGUUCACAUGUUGACCACGCGUUCAAUUUCUUAUCAAAUUAUGGUGUCAAAGAAUUCAUCUUUGAAAUUGAUUAGGAAUACAGAUUCCGUCUUCACUAUAUAUAUAUUUACGUUGAAACAUUUGAAACUGUUGUCGAAUUUCCCAGCUGAAUUUGAUUACUUGGAAAUUGACGCUCUUACGCUAAGCCUUUUUCAUCUUCGAUGUUUAUGUUGUUCGUCUAUUUUUACAAAGAGAUUCCAACGGUUAGAGUUACUGCUUAUGAGCGUUAUGAGGUUGACUAAUUAAAUUAUGGAAACUGUAACUUCGUUGGAUUCUUUGAUUCUCUUCCUGCUCUUCAUAAACUGUGCAUGGACUUCCAUUUUAUGCUGGUAUGGUAUGAUUGAUUAUAAAUAUAAUCACGUGAAUUCAAGUUAAAUAUGUUCGAUCAUAAUUUUUCCAUCUGCUUUCUAGACUUUAUCUGCAGGUCAAAUCCAAACAAUGCUUCCAACUUCUUUAAUCCACCUUAAAAUUCUGAAUUUACUAAUAUAUAUCUAGAUCUAGAGGAUGAAUUCUUGUGGGGGUUUUUGCUUGAUCAGAAGCUCCCCCAACCUUGAGAAAAUUAUCACCGCGGCAAGUAAUGGACAGAGUUAUUUCUGUUUACGUUAUUCUAUAUCCUGAUUUGAACUAAAAAUUAAAGCUAACUAAUUUUUUUGUCAUAUUUCAUAGAUUACGGAUUGGGAAAAUACGGGUGCAAGCCCUGUUCCAGAGUUUCUAAAAGUGCAAGACUACUAAGAUGUACUUCUAAAUCAACUUCAAGAAGUGAAGCUAGAUUCCAUUACUGGCAUAGUUUCUGAGAUAAUACUGAUCCAGCACAGGAGAGAUUUUUUCCGGCCUAGCAUUGAGAAAGUAAUGUAAUUUUAAAAGAGGUAAACAAAUUUCAGUGUGCAUCACCAAAUGCAGCGGUCAUUUAUGAAAAUAAACUUUGAUAGAUGGAUGAAUCUAGUUCAAACAGAUCAGAAGGACUUUACUUUCAGUUUUGCAAUGUGGCUUUCUGAAAUUAGAAAUGUUUUUGCUGGAUCAUGCAAGGCAGUGUUGGCUAAUUAUGAGAUUUCAAACCAUAUCGAGAAAACACUUCUAGAUUAUAGCUUUGGUACAAAUAGAUAUACUUAAAAUGGAAGUAACUUAUGAUCUUAUUUUCAUGAUGUUCUUCACUUAUAUGAAGUUUUGACUAUAUUUAUAGUUUAGGAUAAGAUUUGGGUUUAAUGAUGUAAAUAUUUUGAAUAUUUACAUGUAGGGCAUGAAAGUUUAUCCUCGAGAAAUAUAAGUCAUAUCUUAUUCAACUAUUGAUGAGUGCGUUUUACUUACGAGUUUAAGCUAAUUUUAACUUGAUUGUAAGUUAGAUUUUACGAGUAUUGAAUGUUUUUAAUGUGUUUGUAAAUGUUGUUUUAUAGGAUUAUCGAGAUGGUGAAGGAGAUGAAAAAGAUCAUCGAUUGAAGUUAAUGGUGUGGAUUGAAAAGAAAUUGUGGAGAAAGGUACAAAAGAGGCAAAGCAAAAUUAUUGGACAAGUAGUGCCCCAGGGCUCAAAUAGCAAGGUGCCACAAAGAAGCGAGGAACAGAGUGUGGGCGUCGUGGCGCCAAGUGCUUCAGACAGAGCGCCACCUCACUUAUAUCGCGACGAAAUUUCAGUCCUUUUGUAGUCUAGAUGAAAACCUUACCUUCUACACACUGCAAGACCCAUACAAAUACGAAAUUUCUCACACAUUUAAGGGGGGUUCACACAUUGAGAGGCAAGAAAAUACAAUUGGAGAAUUAAAGGAGGAAUUCAGGGGGGGGGGGGGUUUCGAGAAAUUCAUCUUGUAAAGCAUUGAUUGGAAGAGAAAAAAAUUCUUGGUGCAAGAUCUACUUUUUCUUCUACACCUUUCAUACAAAAUCCGGUGAUGAUAAUCUAUGAUUUUUCCUUUUUCAUUAUGAAUAGCUAAAUCUAUUAUUAGGGUGAAUAAUGUAACCAAUUGGGAUCCUUUAUAUUUUUUUUAUUAAGAUUUUUUGUUUUUAAUUUUUC